UACGGGAGGCAGCAGUGGGGAAUCUUGCGCAAUGGGCGAAAGCCUGACGCAGCCAUGCCGCGUGAAUGAUGAAGGUCUUAGGAUUGUAAAAUUCUUUCACCGGGGACGAUAAUGACGGUACCCGGAGAAGAAGCCCCGGCUAACUUCGUGCCAGCAGCCGCGGUAAUACGAAGGGGGCUAGCGUUGCUCGGAAUUACUGGGCGUAAAGGGAGCGUAGGCGGACAUUUAAGUCAGGGGUGAAAUCCCGGGGCUCAACCUCGGAAUUGCCUUUUGAUACUGGGUGUCUUGAGUAUGAGAGAGGUGUGUGGAACUCCGAGUGUAGAGGUGAAAAUUCGUAGAUAUUCGGAAGAACACCAGUGGCGAAAGGCGACACACUGGCUCAUUACUGACGCUGAGGCUCGAAAAGCGUGGGGAGCAAAACAGGAUUAGAUACC
rnacentral:rRNA from 1 species